rnacentral:rRNA from 1 species
GAGUUUGAUCGUGGCUCAGGAUGAACGCUAGCUACAGGCCUAACACAUGCAAGUCGAGGGGAAACGGGAAAGCAGUUUGCUGCUUUCUGUCGUCGACCGGCGCACGGGUGAGUAACGCGUAUCCAACCUUCCCAUAACUAAGGGGAUACCCCGUAGAAAUGCGGCCUAAUACCUUAUGUACUCCCAUGACGGCAUCAGAAUGGGAGCAAAGAAUUUCGGUUAUGGAUGGGGAUGCGUCUGAUUAGCUUGCUGGCGGGGUAACGGCCCACCAGGGCAUCGAUCAGUAGGGGUUCUGAGAGGAAGGUCCCCCACAUUGGAACUGAGACACGGUCCAAACUCCUACGGGAGGCAGCAGUGAGGAAUAUUGGUCAAUGGGCGUAAGCCUGAACCAGCCAAGUAGCGUGCAGGAUGACGGCCCUAUGGGUUGUAAACUGCUUUUACAGGGGAAUAAAGUGAUUCACGUGUGUUUCAUUGCAUGUACCCUGCGAAUAAGGACCGGCUAAUUCCGUGCCAGCCGCCGCCGU